rnacentral:rRNA from 1 species
CAGUCGCCGCGGUAAUACGGAGGGGGCUAGCGUUGUUCGGAAUUACUGGGCGUAAAGCGCACGUAGGCGGCUUGGUAAGUUAGAGGUGAAAGCCUGGAGCUCAACUCCAGAAUUGCCUUUAAGACUGCCGAGCUAGCAGGUGAGAGAGGUAAGUGGAAUUCCGAGUGUAGAGGUGAAACUCGUAGAUAUUCGGAAGAACACCAGUGGCGAAGGCGGCUUACUGGCUCAUACUGGACGCUGAGGUGCGAAAGCGUGGGGAGCAAACAGGAUUAGAUACCCCAGUAGUCCCUGUCUCUUAUAC